rnacentral:rRNA from 1 species
GAGUUUGAUCGUGGCUCAGAACGAACGCUGGCGGCAGGCCUAACACAUGCAAGUCGAACGCUGUAGCAAUACAGAGUGGCAGACGGGUGAGUAACGCGUGGGAACCUUCCCAAUGGUGCGGAAUAGCUCAGGGAAACUUGAGGUAAUACCGCAUAAGCCCUUAGGGGGAAAGAUUUAUCGCCAUUGGAUGGGCCCGCGUCGGAUUAGCUAGUUGGUGAGGUAAUGGCUCACCAAGGCAACGAUCCGUAGCUGGUUUGAGAGAAUGACCAGCCACACUGGGACUGAGACACGGCCCAGACUCCUACGGGAGGCAGCAGUGGGGAAUCUUGGACAAUGGGCGCAAGCCUGAUCCAGCCAUGCCGCGUGAGUGACGAAGGCCUUAGGGUUGUAAAGCUCUUUUGCCGGGGACGAUAAUGACGGUACCCGGAGAAUAAGCCCCGGCUAACUUCGUGCCAGCAGCCGCCGUAAU